rnacentral:rRNA from 1 species
CCUACGGGAGGCAGCAGUGGGGGAUAUUGCACAAUGGGGGGAACCCUGAUGCAGCGACGCCGCGUGGGUGAAGGAGCGUUUCGGCGCGUAAACCUCUGUCAGCAGGGAAGAACGGUCACUGUGCUAAUCAGCAGUGAAUUGACGGUACCUGCAAAGGAAGCACCGGCUAACUCCGUGCCAGCAGCCGCGGUAAUACGGAGGGUGCGAGCGUUAAUCGGAAUUACUGGGCGUAAAGCGCUCGUAGGCGGUAUGUCAAGUCAAGGGUGAAAUCCCCGCGCUCAACGUGGGAACUGCCUUUGAAACUGGCAAACUGGAGUGUGUGAGAGGAUAGUGGAAUUCCAGGUGUAGGAGUGAAAUCCGUAGAUAUCUGGAGGAACAUCAGUGGCGAAGGCGACUAUCUGGCACAUAACUGACGCUGAGGAGCGAAAGCGUGGGUAGCAAACAGGAUUAGAUACCCGUGUAGUC